UGUUAGGAGCGUUUCAAUGUUGCUCGGCUAAAUCAAUUUCAUUCAUAAACCCUAACUAUCCUCGACCUUCUUCUCUCCGUUGCCAGUUUAUGUUUUCGUUUGGUAAACUUUGAGCCUCUUCGUAAACCAAUUUCUAGGGUUUAGCCAUUCCAUUCGGCGAUACUAUGAUUUGUACGGUUAGGACUUCAAUCCCUUUUCUCUGUUUCUUUUCUUUGGAUUGUUUUGCUUAUGAGUUUUGAUUUGAUUAAAAAGCGACAUCAGUAAGAUAUAGGGGUCAAUACCCCGAUCAUACGAACUCUAAUUUCUUAUUUUUCUUCUUUUAAUAGACGCCCCCUAUCGAAUAGAUCCAUUUUAAAAUCCAGGUAUCUUUUGCGUUUUACCUAUUAGGAUAAUAAGGAAUUAGGGUUCUUAUUUCAUAUUUCAUAAAUUAAUGUGCAGUAUGCCUUUUGUAAUUGCUCCGUACUAUAUUGGGCCAAUUCCAUGUUAUCCUGGUUCAUUUUGGGAAGCUCAUACACUUUUUUUUCUUUCCGAGAGAAUCUGUCCGUGGUGUAUAAAGUUAUAUAUAACCAAAUCUUAAACGACCAUAGAUUAAGAUUACGAUUUGAGUUUAUAUCCAAGGGUCGUUUUGAUGUUCAGGAAUGUGUUCAUCAAAUGUCAUUUUAUAGUGGCAGCAUUGGAGAAAAGAUGAGAUCAACAUCAUAUGUGCAACAUUAGCUUUUGGGUUGGGUAAAUUGACUUUUACACUAAUCUGGUCAAAUUUGUAUAUCAUUUGUUUACCUACAGAUUUUGCAGGUAUCAACAAACCUCAUCCAUCUUUCACUUCAGAAUUCUAUUGAAGCUAAUUGGCCAUGCGAUUAGCAUCCUAAUGUUCUGUGUUCUACAAUUUUGUUUAAAACCGUGGUGUAUGAACCACAAGCUUUAAUACAUAGAACAUUUGUCUCCAUAUAUAUUAUGAGUUUCUGUUCUUUACCGCAAUUCAAUUCUUAUACCUUUUUUUUCGAAGUCAAUUAUGUGUAUGUUAUUAAUUAGGAACGGUGAUGGUAGGACGACGCACGGAGUCAACACAGCGAAUAAGCCGGAUGCAGAAUAUGGCCAGGAAACCCCGGGUGGAGGCACUGGCCUUCCAUUUGCACCCACUCAUGAAUAGUAAGAUUCCCUUAUAUAUGCCUACAAAGUUUGAGGCCACAUGUUAAGGAAGAUUAUCACUCCUUUUGUCAUUCAGUUUGAUAUACAAAAACGCCUUGCAUACGGGUAUAUAUGUGGUGCAAUGGCAGCGCAUCUGGCUUCAGUCUAGAAGGAGACAUGCUCAAUUCACGCCGUAUUAUUUACCCUCCCAUUUAUAAUUCUGCUGAUAGAAAAGUUCUUUGUUUUUCUUUUACAGCUAAAGAGAUAUUGCACCAGUCCAUUGUAUGCAACUGCUGACAAAAUAUGAGCAUAGCAUCGUAUAUCUAUCCCAGGAAAGAACAUGACAGUGCCUAUAAGCAACAACAUGAACAAAACCUCUGUACAAUGGCAGCGCCGCUCCAAACGACUCACAUACACAGGCACCAGGAUUGUAGAGGCUAACCAAGUACAUAAAUAUUACGGAGAAGUGGUUAAUAACCAAUAUACUACAACACUCUUUCAUAGUUUUGAUAAUUGUUGUUCUUUUAACAAAAAAUUGUUGCUUCUCAAUAGAAAUUUUACGUAUCUUCGAUGGUCAUGUUAUUGAGUAAGAAGAUAUUGAUUAUAGUAUCAUUUAACUAUGGGUUUGAGUGAUGUUUGAAGAGGUAAGGUUAUAGGUUUAGGGUUGGCAAGAAUUUGUUGAGCAUUUUUUGUGAAAGGCAAAUCGGAAACUUUAUGUAUUAAAGUUGAAAUGUUCUUAGGUU